UGUAGUCUGGUAGAAGUUUAUUAGUGUUUCAGAGAUAAACUUCUACCAGACUACACACUGCUACAAACCAGACGACAACCGCCAUUUUAUGUGCCUAUCCUGUGAGAUCUUUAAAUGCUACAAACAAAUAGAGCUAUGCUAAUGGCCAUGUAUCUGAACAGUCUUACAGAUCAAGAGACAGUAAGCCUUACUACAGCAAUGGUCCACUCAGGUGAUCAACUUCAAUGGAACCCUGAGUGGAAAGACUUGUUGGUGGACAAACACAGUACAGGCGGCUGUGGAGACAAAAUAUCCCUGGUUCUAGCACCUGCUCUGGCAGCAUGUGACUUCAAAGUGCCUAUGAUAUCAGGCAGAGGCCUGGAACACACAGGUGGUACACUGGACAAGCUGGAAAGCAUCCCAGGUUACUGUGUGCAGUUAUCAGAGAACGAGAUGCAUUAUGCACUGAAGACAGCAGGUUGCUUUAUUGCGGGGCCAACAGAGACUCUGGCACCUGGUGACAAAGAACUUUAUAAACGCAGAGAUGUAACAGCUACUGUGGACAGUAUACCACUGUGUGUAGCCUCCAUUAUUUCUAAGAAAGUUGCAGAAGGAACAAAGACACUAAUAAUGGAUGUCAAAGUUGGAUCUGCUGCGUUCUUCAAAGAUGAAACUCAAGCUCGUAAUUUGGCUUCAAUGCUUAUAAAUGUGUCAGCUGGUUUAGGUGUUCAAACACGUUGUGCUCUCACAAACAUGGAUACUCCUCUUGGUCGAGCUGUGGGUAAUUCCCUAGAAGUGGCUGAGGCAAUAGACUGCUUAAAGGGGAAUGGCCCUCAUGAUAUUGUUGAACUUGUCACAACUCUCGGAGGAAUUAUUUUAGAGAUGAAAGGUCGUGUUGAAACUUUAAAUGAAGGAAAACAAACCAUAUUAAAGGUUUUAAACUCUGGUGAAGCUUUGGAGAAAUUCCGCUUGAUGCUGAUUUGUCAAGGUGUUGCUGAAGUGACUGCAACAGCUCUGUGUCUAGGAGAUGUGUGGAGUGUUUUGCCUUCUGUUUCCCAAGAACAUAUCACCAUCAUUAGGGCUGUUUCUUCAGGAAUUAUAACAAAACUGGAUUCACUGGGGGUGGCAAAAGCUGCUUGGAAACUGGGAGCUGGACGCAGUAAGGCAGAUGAACCUAUUGAUUAUGCAGUGGGGAUCAGACUUCUGCAUGUGCAGGGUGAAAAGGUGGAAAAAGGAGAAGGACUGAUGGAAGUCCAUCAUAAUUCUUCCACACUCAAUGAAAAUAUUCGUCGACAGCUAGAGGAAGCCAUCAUCAUAUCAGAUGGAUUAGAUGAAACAGUGCCUUCCCUCAUUAUAGAUAUUAUGUAAGAUUUCCUACAAAGAUGCAUGUCUGUAUGUUUGGCACUGAAGAUCAGAAGAAGGGCAUGAAUAUGAUGACUAGCUUUUAUAGUCUGGUGUUAAGAAAAGCUGAUAUGGUUGGAAACAAGGAGCUCUUGGUAGAUGCAGAGAAUCAUGACUGCAGACCUGAAUGAAGAGUAAGGAAGAAUUUGAUAUAUCCUGAUGUAGAUUACAUUCCAAUAGAACAUACAAUUUUUAUACUAACCUAAUCAUUUUUAUUCAUUCUCUAUACUUAUAUAUGGAAGUGUUUAUAAUGUGUACUUUCUGACAUCUCAGAAUAUCAAAGUUCACUGAAAUGAGUGAUAUUGAAAUCCUAGUAAGCAUCCAUGAAAACUGUCAUAAUGAUACAUUAAAUAUUAGAAGACUGUUGUAUUUGAAGAAAUGCUUUACUUUGUUUUUUGUAAUUCCAGAGAAAUUACUCUAGUAGGUAAUCAGACAUUUUUCAUGACUGUUUUCUGUAUUAGUUAAACUAACACAGUCAUACUGGUAAUAAAUGUGUACACCACACAAAUUUAUGAACCUCUUUAACAGUUAUGUACAUAGAGGUAAAUAAUUUUUUUAUAGAUAGUUUGAACAUUAAUCACAGAUAAGAUGAUAAACUACUUAGUAUCUUUAAAGACAGCCAUCUUAGAUAGACAGUAAGAUUGUCCUUGUCAAAGGCUUAAUGUUAAUAUUGAUUACUGGUAUAGACAAAAUGACAUAUCAGGAGUUUUAUUCAAGUGUUGAGCCAUACUCUCCAGAUUUGAAAUGGUAGAUGUUAAAUUAACAUUUAAAAAUUUCCCAUCUAUUCUCUCCAAGAUAAUUUAUAUAGUAUAUGGAUGUAACUAACAGAAAAUACAAGAUUGUGAAUUUAACACAAAUUUACUCUUCAUUAAAAAAUCUUUAAAUCAGUUGUGCUAGUGUUAACAACAACAUAUAAAUUAUGCAGUGCGUGGGAAGCCAUGUAUAUUGACAAUCAUUUACUUCCUUCCUCUUAUGUUUCAGAUAGUUGAAAAAUGUUUCAAAUCCAUAAUUAUAAUUACUUCACAAGCUUAGUUUCUUGCUUUUUCAGUGAUAUUGUAGCUUAUUAAUUUGUAAUACUGCAUCGUCUGUAGUGCAUUUUAGUGUAGUCUUUUAUUUGUAUUCUUCUUUGUAUUGUUCUGCUCUACAGUAAUAUGGUACUCUAUUAUGAAUGUGCAAACACUUUCUUAUAUUGAGUCAUACACCUGAAAAACUUCCAAUCACAUUUGUGACUAAAUACGCAGUCAGUUAAAUGUGUAAGUUCAAUGUAAAUCUAAGUUAGAUUCUGUCCGGCUGAAAUUUUUUUAUUAUCUCUAUUUUCUCAAGCCCAAGCGAUGUGGAGACAUUGCACUCUUGAUAGUUUGGUUUUAUUGAUGUGGCAAAUUUAUUACUCUAAUCCCAUAAUCAUUAUUAGUUUCAGAACUGGUAUAACAGAAAUAUUUUAUUCAUAACUGUAGCUCCCACUACAGCUCAGACAACUCACAUAAAUUGGAAACAUUUUAGGAAGAUUUUGAAAAGAUUUCCAUUUGAACCGUGUUACUUUGGAAUAUAUACAAAUUUUAUAUGAAUGUUAUUACCCCACAACUAAUUGUUAUGCUGGAGGAACCACAAUGAUGAGUUCAGUAAAUUAAAAUGCAGAAUAUACUUUGGGAAGCUGCAUAUGGUAAUAUGAAAAAUCCACUCACUUGACAGUGAAGAUGAUGUAGCAGUGUGCUGGCAGCUGGACCAAGGGUACUGUCUGAUAUGAUGGCCACAUACACCUGGUCAGCAUAUGUGAAGACUGACACUGCAAGCCCCAAACUGUUCUGUGCUGGCAACAGUGGAUACACUCCCUUAAGAGGAUGUCCACCAACCAGUAGUGUGGAUGUUGGUCCCGCACCUGGCAGUCAGCAAGGGAAUGGCAUAGGACACGAACAAGAGCCAUGCCAUCUGCAACACUUUGAUGCACACGGAGCACUACGACUGUGUCCUGAUGACAGCCAACACUCUGCAGAACGUGCAGUUCCCAUGGAGCAUAUAUACCUGCAGACAACGGCAGUGGGACAGGUCGUCUUGUGAGCCGAGGGUAGAGAGGGACUACUCUUGUCAGAAGAAGGUUCUGGAGAUGAGAAACAUCUAAGCCUGCUCCUGCUUCAAAUAUCAGCACUGCAUGUAUGACGGAGUAUCGCCACGCUGAACCAAGCCACCGACCGUCAUUUCCCCUUACAGAUUCAGGUGCACCACCUAAAAAUACAAAAAAGAUGAUAAGCAGUAGCCAUCGACCAAGCAGGCAGAAAGGUAUCAAGAUGCAUAUUGCAAGAAGUACUGGAAGACCCACUACAAGUGCCAGGACUCCAGCAAAGACACUUCCCAGAACCCCCCAAAGUGGGCUUUCUUCAAGGGGAUGACGCAGGCGGCGGAUGGGGACACUCCUCAUGUAAUUGCCCCUCACCAUCUGAAAUAAUAUAGUCCUAAUCUGAACUGAGUUUGGCAAACAAGAGUUACAAUUAAUGUCUCUUAGUUUUUAAAUUAGGGUUUAUGUAUCUCAAACAAAAUGUAAUUUUUUCCUCCCUAUAGAAAUUUUAUAUGAAAAUAGGUUACAAACUUUCCUUUAAAUAAUGUAUGAAAUAUUGUUGGUGAUGGUGUAAAACUUGAAGGUUAUAUCUAACAAAUUUAAAGUAAUAUCUAUAUUUAAAUAAAAUGUACUUUCCAAAAGAAAUUAUGAUAAUAGUGACAAUGAUGACAUUGACAACAACAAGAGUACAAAACUGUUCUGAUUUGA